rnacentral:rRNA from 1 species
GAUGAACGCUGACAGAAUGCUUAACACAUGCAAGUCAACUUGAAUUUGGGUUUUUAACUUAGGUUUGGGUGGCGGACGGGUGAGUAACGCGUAAAGAACUUGCCUCACAGCUAGGGACAACAUUUGGAAACGAAUGCUAAUACCUAAUAUUAUGAUAAUAGGGCAUCCUAUAAUUAUGAAAGCUAUAAGCGCUGUGAGAGAGCUUUGCGUCCCAUUAGCUAGUUGGAGAGGUAACGGCUCACCAAGGCGAUGAUGGGUAGCCGGCCUGAGAGGGUGAUCGGCCACAAGGGGACUGAGACACGGCCCUUACUCCUACGGGAGGCAGCAGUGGGGAAUAUUGGACAAUGGACCAAGAGUCUGAUCCAGCGAUUCUGUGUGCACGAUGAAGUUUUUCGGAAUGUAAAGUGCUUUCAGUUGGGAAGAAAGAAAUGACGGUACCAACAGAAGAAGUGACGGCUAAAUACGUG